rnacentral:ncRNA from 1 species
CCAAAUGCAGUGACAAGGAGGAGUACAUACUCACCCGGAUUUCAGAGAGAAGAUGGUUGGUGGAAGUCUUCAUUUAGGAAGUAUGGAAGUAGCCUUUGAGCAGUGGACCGAAAGAGAAGACAAGUGAUUCUUUAGUAGGCUUCAACGGAAGUUUCCGCCGUUACACGGAAAACGGUAUCGAUAUCUUUGCAUAAUUAUGCCAAAGGCUCCGUAUCGGAAUGAGUGCAGAGAUUUCUCUCUGAAUUUAGGUGGUAACACGGAUAAUUAUUCGCCCUAAGC